UACGUAGGGGGCUAGCGUUGUCCGGAUUUAUUGGGCGUAAAGAGCGUGUAGGCGGCCAGAUAGGUCUGCUGUGAAAACUCGAGGCUCAACCUCGAGAUGUCGGCGGAAACCAUUUGGCUAGAGUCCGGAAGAGGAAAGUGGAAUUCCUGGUGUAGCGGUGAAAUGCGCAGAUAUCAGGAAGAACACCCGUGGCUAAGGCGGUUCUCUAGUACGGUACUGACGCUGAGACGCGAAAGCGUGGGGAGCGAACAGG
rnacentral:rRNA from 1 species